rnacentral:rRNA from 1 species
UAUGUGAUCGUCUCUCGCAUAUCAAUAAGCGGAGGAAAAGAAACUAACAAGGAUUCCCCUAGUAACGGCGAGUGAAGCGGGAAGAGCUCAAAUUUGAAAUCUUAAAGGGUUUCCCUUUACGAAUUGUAGUUUAAAGAAGUGUUUUCUGUUGAGGUUUUGGUAAAAGUUCUUUGGAAUAGGACAUCAUAGAGGGUGAGAAUCCCGUAUUUGACCUUUACUUUCAACUUUGUGAUACACUUUCAAAGAGUCGGAUUGUUUGGGAAUGCAGUCCAAAAUGGGUGGUAAAUUUCAUCUAAAGCUAAAUAUUGGCGAGAGACCGAUAGCGAACAAGUACCGUGAGGGAAAGAUGAAAAGAACUUUGAAAAGAGAGUUAAACAGUACGUGAAAUUGUCAAAAGGGAAGCGUUUGACACCAGUGUUGUUUUUCUGAAAAUCAAUUAAAGAACUGUUUAUGCUAAGCUGUUUAGACUUUAUCAGCUAACUGUUUAGUUUUGAGCUUUUCUUUAAUGCACUUUUCAGUUAACAAGACAACAUCAAUUUCUUUUGCUGUAAAAAAGCUUGAGGAAGGUGGCUUGAGAUUCGUCUUAAGUGUUUAUAGCCUCUUGCCUAUGCAGUCGGAGAGAUUGAGGUCUGCAGCGUAGAUCCUUCGGGGCUAAAUGCAUUUGUGCUAAGUUAUAGCAUUUUAUAGACAACUUGUUGACUAUGAUUUGUCUUGUAGCUUACUCGCUUAUGUUAUUUUACCUACGCUUAGGAUGUUGACUGAUAUGUAGUCGU